ACCAAUUCUGGGGGAGAAAAAGGUUCCUCUUGGUAUAAUGGCUUGGGCGCUAGAUCCAAAUUGUGGCUAUCCUGAUCUUUGGCUUCAUUUUCCAUGCCAUUUGAUCGUGGAAACACCUCAUACAUUU